ACCACAUCACGUUGAUACACCGGUUCCCGUACGAUCAUCGAAGUAAAGCAAAGUGGAAUCCGGUCAGUACAGAGAUGGGUGACCGCUUGGAAAUAUCAGGUGCUGUAAG